UACGUAGGGUGCAAGCGUUGUCCGGAAUUAUUGGGCGUAAAGGGCUCGUAGGCGGUUUGUCGCGUCGGGAGUGAAAACCUCGGGCUUAACUCGGGGCUUGCUUUCGAUACGGGCAGACUAGAGGUAUGCAGGGGAGAACGGAAUUCCUGGUGUAGCGGUGAAAUGCGCAGAUAUCAGGAGGAACACCGGUGGCGAAGGCGGGUCUCUGGGCCGAUACUGACGCUGAGGAGCGAAAGCGUGGGGAGCAAACAGG
rnacentral:rRNA from 1 species